rnacentral:rRNA from 1 species
AUUAAACGCUGGCGGCAUGCCUUACACAUGCAAGUCGAACGGCAGCACGGGUGCUUGCCCCUGGUGGCGAGUGGCGAACGGGUGAGUAAUACAUCGGAACAUGUCCUGUAGUGGGGGAUAGCCCGGCGAAAGCCGGAUUAAUACCGCAUACGAUCUACGGAUGAAAGCGGGGGACCUUCGGGCCUCGCGCUAUAGGGUUGGCCGAUGGCUGAUUAGCUAGUUGGUGGGGUAAAGGCCUACCAAGGCGACGAUCAGUAGCUGGUCUGAGAGGACGACCAGCCACACUGGGACUGAGACACGGCCCAGACUCCUACGGGAGGCAGCAGUGGGGAAUUUUGGACAAUGGGCGAAAGCCUGAUCCAGCAAUGCCGCGUGUGUGAAGAAGGCCUUCGGGUUGUAAAGCACUUUUGUCCGGAAAGAAAUCCUUGGCCCUAAUACGGUCGGGGGAUGACGGUACCGGAAGAAUAAGCACCGGCUAACUACGUG